rnacentral:sRNA from 1 species
AUCGGUUAAACCUUAGACUACUUAUUAGCUAGAAAACGGUUCUUGGCUAGACGCGUUUCGUUGGAAUUCAUGGACUUCUAUCGUUACGUCGUGCGCAAUAGCAGUCUCCUUUUCCACGCUAUCCGUGCCCUUAGGCUUAUUUAAGAUAUACGAAGGAAAGACACAUGUCAGAUACAGUGACUGGUACAGUUAAGUGGUUCAACGAAACUAAAGGUUUCGGUUUCAUCAAACAAGAAAACGGCCCAGACGUUUUUGCACACUUCAGUGCAAUUACUGGUGACGGUUUCCGUACCCUAGCUGAAGGCCAGCCAGUAGAAUUUACUAUCUCGCAAGGUCAAAAAGGCCCACAAGCUGAGAACAUCAAAGUUCUUUAACUUGUUGCCAAAAUAGAUUGUAAUAGCCAGCUCAUUUAGCUGGCUUUUUUAU